AUAUAUAUAUGGCGAUACUCAUACCGAUACUUAUAACAUGUCAGAACCCAAUUUUCAUUUGCUUCACAAUAAAGCGUUUGACGAAUACAAAGCGAAGUACGAGUUUAUGGAAUACUGAGAUGACACGAUUAACGUAACCUACUGCAUUGGCUUACAGCUCUUUCUGCUAUAUGAAGAGCUGAGUGAUAGUGCAUCACCUUGCAUCUUCCUCGGAGCGUUUCUACUGUAUAUAUACACAUGCAACUGCAUGCGCAUGUAGAUGUGUGUAUGCCCACGAGUGUAUAUAUGCAAAUAUAUAUAUAUAUAUAUAUAUAUAUAUAUACAUAAACAUGCAUGUGUAUGUGUUAUGUUUGUGUGUAUGUUUGUGUAUCAACGCAUAAAUUGUGAAGGAGCAUUGUGUUAUUAUUAGGAUUGCUCACCUCACAAAUAUAGAAGGCUUUGGUUUACAUUCCCGGACAGGCGGGCGUGUGGUUUCCUUGGAAGAGGCACUUCACUUCAGAUAUUGUGUGCCAUCCGAGUAGCUCUUACCAACUCCAUGUUUCACUGAGUGGAGAGUAAAAUGGUAAAUAUCUCUGAUUGCUUUCGAUUUUAUAGUAACCAAAGAAAGUAGCAGAAACGACGUGAAAUUAUUGUUAAAUUUCAUUUGAAUUUAUUUCAUGAUAAUAUAAAUGAAUAUUAUUAUGCAGCAAAGACUAAUAUUAUACAUGUGCAAACUGGUUAAUGGUCUGUGAGUACAGUAAUAUUCUGUGAUGUAGAAUAUCAAUAGCCAUCAUUUAUAUUUAUAAGAUUAGACCUCAGUAUGUAAAGUAAUUAUGUUAUUAUAACAAAAUAUAUAUACAAUGAACGUGAAUAGAAGCACAUAUUCCGCUCUAAUAAUUACAUGGUACUUUAAAUGCGUUUUAUUUCUUUAUUAGUAUCAUCUUACUUUUAUUCUAAUUAAACCUUUUGAGUGUAUAUCUGAAGAAGAUCCUAAGUCCGAAACGUCAAAGACACUUCUGCAUAAUUCUCUUCCUUGAGGAUCAAAGUAAAAAUUAUACUUUGUCUUUCCUGUUAUUUUGUUUCCCUUGUUAUUUCCGUUGUUAAUUUUACAUACA